UCUCUUUUGAAGAAAUAAUGUUGAUUAGAUCAAGACUCAACAGUCUUUAUAGGUGCUGACUGCCAUGUCUUCAGUGCUAUGGGAACAUUGAGAAGGAUGUAACUCACAGUCUGGACUGUUGCGGAAGUUGUUAAAGGUAACUGGUGUUUUGAGAGAAGGACAAGGGAGUUGGUUGAAUAGAAUUUCAUAGACAAUGGCACCCAUAUGCUAGAAUUUGUAACUAAUUCAAUCAUAGGGUACAUUUAGGGUAGAAAAGUGGGAGAAGAAUUGAUAAAAGUUGCGGUAAAUGAGGCUUGCAUGUAAGUCAUUAAUAAUCUUAUAUCUCAUUUAUUGCAAAGACAAACUAUUUAUGAUUCCAAGAGACAAAUGCAUUUAAUCUGUGAUUGGGAAAGAUAACUAUUGAUGGUAGAAUGUUAAAAUAAAACUUCUUGUCAGGAAAGGCAGUUUGGAAGUAAUUGGAGUAUCUCAACAAGGAGCUAAUGUUUUAUACUUGAAAUCAUUCAAAAACAAGUAGUGUUAUGAAGAGAAAGAAAAAAUCAAGAUAUAUUUAGUAGAAAGAACCAACAGGGCCUAAAGACUGAUAGUGUGAGAUUUUGUGCAUUGUGCAUUAAAACAUCUGAUACCUGGCACACACAACCAUUCAAUAAAUGUCCAAUCACUCUUUCCUUGCAACCUGUGUUGGAUUGCUUUUUACAUGAAUAUAACUCAUACCUGUCUGCCAUGAAAGUUAUGUCAAUAUAGCUUCUAAAGCAAUUGGAGUAUGAUAUGAAGAUCUAUCAUUAAACAUAAUGAAAAAAAAUUCAGGAAUGUAAAAUAGUGUUCAUAUGCAUGUUUGACUACAGAAGCACACAUUUACAAACAUAGUUUUAUACACUGACACCAAUAAAUGUGGGUGUUAUAUUACUCAAAUGUAGACAUUAUAUCUGUAGAUUUACAAGGUCAGAAAACCAUUAUAUCAUCAAACUAGUGUGCAAUUAAUGUUUGCAAAACAAAUGAAUGUAAAGUCUUGGUACUUUUUGCAGUUUUAUAUUUUGCAAGUUUAAAGCAGUAGGUUUUGAGGAAUAAAACUCUAAUACUAGCCACCAAAUAAAAAUUAAUCAAGAUCAUUUAUUAGUUACCACAUCCACUCUACAUUUUUUGCAUUUGCUUUUUCCUCUAGAUGCAUGAGUUUUAAUGGAUUAAGAUGGUAAGGAGUAUCAAUAGGAUGAAGACAAUUUUAAAAAAUAGAAAGUAAUAAGAGGAAAAGAGAGGAACAGCACUCCAUUCGGAGUUAAACAUAAACCACAAACUUCCCCAUCCCCUACAUGCAGUGUCUAUUUCUAGUGUGCUUUCAAAUGCUCCCUGCCUCUCUGUAAAUACUGUUAUUAUUCUCUCACUUGAGUUAUUGUUCUCCACUCAUAAUAUUGAUGCAAUUCAGAAAUUCUAUUUAUGUCAACUUAAUAAAUGUAUAUCUCCAAAUGACAGGGAAAACACCCCUCAGAAAGUUGUUUGCUGCUUUCUAGUUGGGGUACCAUAACCAAUUUUACUGGAAAAUUUAACUACAUCACUGUUAAACAAUUUGCAUGUUACUAAAUCCUUUGCAUGCUGAAUAUAAGAGGUCCAUCAACCAUGUUGCUUUAAUCACCCCCCAUUUCAGUAAAAACUAUAUUUUCUGAUAAAUUACCUUGAGAAAUCACAUGCAGAUAUUUAGGAUGUGCACUCCAAUCAUAAAAAAGUUAAAAAUAUAAACAGAAUUUAAGAAUCAAAGAAAUGCCAGGCGUGGUGGCUCACGCCUGUAAUCCCAGCACUUUGGGAGACUAAGGUGGGCAGAUCACCUGAGGUUGGGAGUUCGAGACCAGCCUGACCAAUAUGGAGAAACCGUCUCUCUACUAAAAAUACAAAAUUAGCUGGGCAUGGUGGUGGGCGCCUAUAAUUCCAGCUACUCUGGAGGCUGAGGCAGGAGAAUCGCUUGAACUCGGGGGGCAGAUGUUGCAGUGAGCCAAGAUCACGCCAUUGCACUCUAGCCUGGUCAACAGGAGCAAAACUCCGCCUCCAAAAGAGGCAGGUUUUUGGAGAAUUCAGAUUAAUUCUACAUCAUUAACAAGAGUUGUUUUUGUUGUUUCUUUUUUAUGUCAGUCUUUGCUGUCUUUGCUUCUCUUGGCCUGAAUUUUAUCACUGUCACAGCAGAAGGCACCACUUCACAGGGCAGCAGGAGAGAGAAUGAAUGCCAAGCAAAGGGGGAAGGAAGGGCCUUGUAAAACCAUCAGAUCUCGUG
rnacentral:lncRNA from 1 species